UGGUUCUGGCAUNGAUGAAGAACGCAGCGAAAUGCGAUAAGUAAUGUGAAUUGCAGAAUUCAGUGAAUCAUCGAAUCUUUGAACGCAUAUUGCGCCCGCUAGUAUUCUGGCGGGCAUGCCUGUUCGAGCAUCAUUUCAACCCUCAAGUCCCCUCGGGGUCUUGGUGUUGGGGAUCAGCCUGCCUCUAGGCGGCUGGCCCUGAAUUGCAGUGGCGGUCUUGCUGUCGUCUCCCUUGCGUAAUAACUUACCUCGUAUCGGAUCCGCCGCUUGGCCACGCCGUAAAACCCCCCCUCUUUUUUUGGUUGAUCUCGAAUCAGGUAGGAAUACCCGCUGA
rnacentral:misc_RNA from 1 species